rnacentral:rRNA from 1 species
UAUCAAUAAGCGGAGGAAAAGAAACCAACAGGGAUUGCCCUAGUAACGGCGAGUGAAGCGGCAACAGCUCAAAUUUGAAAUCUGGCGCAAGCCCGAGUUGUAAUUUGUAGAGGAUGCUUCUGGGCAGCGGCCGGUCUAAGUUCCUUGGAACAGGACGUCACAGAGGGUGAGAAUCCCGUAUGUGACCGGCGCGCACCCUCCACGUAGCUCCUUCGACGAGUCGAGUUGUUUGGGAAUGCAGCUCUAAAUGGGAGGUAAAUUUCUUCUAAAGCUAAAUACCGGCCAGAGACCGAUAGCGCACAAGUAGAGUGAUCGAAAGAUGAAAAGCACUUUGGAAAGAGAGUUAAAAAGCACGUGAAAUUGUUGAAAGGGAAGCGCUUGCAACCAGACUCCGCGGCGGUGUUCCGCCGGUCUUCUGACCGGUCCACUCGCCGCCGCGGGGCCAACAUCGUCUGGGGCCGCCGGACAAGACUGGAGGAAUGUAGCUCCCUCGGGAGUGUUAUAGCCUUCAGUGAUGCGGCGCGUCCCGGGCGAGGUCCGCGCUUCGGCAAGGAUGUUGGCGUAAUGGUUGCCAGCGGCCCGUCUUGAAACACGGACCAAGGAGUCUAACAUCUAUGCGAGUGUUCGGGUGUCAAACCCCUACGCGUAAUGAAAGUGAACGGAGGUGGGAGCUUCGGCGCACCAUCGACCGAUCCUGAUGUCCUCGGAUGGAUUUGAGUAAGAGCAUAGCUGUUGGGACCCGAAAGAUGGUGAACUAUGCCUGAAUAGGGUGAAGCCAGAGGAAACUCUGGUGGAGGCUCGCAGCGGUUCUGACGUGCAAAUCGAUCGUCAAAUUUGGGUAUAGGGGCGAAAGACUAAUCGAACCAUCUAGUAGCUGGUUCUGU